rfam:Penicillium arizonense strain CBS 141311 PENARI_contig005, whole genome shotgun sequence.
GGGCGGCUGGCCUAAUGGUAAGGCGUUUGUUUUCGGUCCUGUUCACAAAAAAUUGCAGGUUCGAUCCCUGCGUCGCUCA